rnacentral:rRNA from 1 species
AAGCUCGUAGUUGAAUUUCGGGAUUUAUCCGUCGGUCGGGCUUUUGGGUCUGUACUGGCGUGAUGGAUUCCUACCUUCUGAAUAACCGGCAUGUCAUUAAUUUGGUGCGCUGGGGAAGCAGGACUGUUACCUUGAAAAAAUUAGAGUGCUUAAAGCAGGCUAUUGCCUGAAUACAUUAGCAUGGAAUAAUAGAAUAGGACUUUGGUUCUAUUUUGUUGGUUUCUAGGACCAAAAUAAUGAUUAAUAGGGAUAGUUGGG